rnacentral:rRNA from 1 species
GACGAACGCUGGCGGCGGGCUUAACACAUGCAAGUCGAACGGAAAGGCCCUGCUUUUGUGGGGUGCUCGAGUGGCGAACGGGGGAGUAACACGUGAGUAACCUGCCCUUGACUUUGGGAUAACUUCAGGAAACUGGGGCUAAUCCCGGAUAGGAGCUCCUGCUGCAUGGUGGGGGUUGGAACGUUUCGGCGGUUGGGGAUGGACUCGCGGCUUAUCAGCUUGUUGGUGGGGUAGUGGCUUACCAAGGCUUUGACGGGUAGCCGGCCUGAGAGGGUGACCGGCCACCUUGGGACUGAGAUACGGACCAGACUCCUACGGGAGGCAGCAGUGGGGAAUAUUGCACAAUGGGCGGAAGCCUGAUGCAGCAACGCUGCGUGCGGGAUGACGGCCUGCGGGUUGUAAACCGCUUUCGCCUGUGACGAAGCGUGAGUGACGGUAAUGGGUAAAGAAGCACCGGCUAACUACGUG